rnacentral:rRNA from 1 species
GUUGUUGCGGUUAAAAGCUCGUAGUUGGAUUUCUGUCGAAAACGGCCGGUCCGCACUAUGUGCGUGUAUCUGGUUCGGUUUUGGCAUCCUCUUGAAGAACGUGUCUGCGCUUGAUUGCGUGGCGCGGUAUUCAAGACUUUUACUUUGAGGAAAUUAGAGUGUUCACGGCAGGCAAGCGCCUUGAAUAUAUUAGCAUGGAAUAAUAAUAUAGGAUUUUGGUUCUAUUUUGUUGGUUUCUAGGACUAGAAUAAUGAUUAAUAGGGAUAAUUGGGGGCAUUUGUAUUAACGCGUCAGAGGUGGAAUUCUUGGUUUGCGUUACGACAAACCACUGCGAAAGCAUUUGCCAAGGAUGUUUUCAUUGAUCAAGAACGAAAGUAUAGGGAUCGAAGAUGAUUAGAUACCGUCGUAGUCUAUACCAUAAACUAUGCCAACUAGAGAUUGGAGGUCGUUCUUUUUAUGACUCCUUCAGCACCUUAUGAGAAAUCAAAGUCUUUGGGUUCCGGGGGGAGUAUGGUCGCAAGGCUGAAACUUAAAGGAAUUGA